GACGAACGCUGGCGGCGUGCCUAAUACAUGCAAGUAGAACGCUGAAGGAGGAGCUUACUUCUCUGGAUGAGUUGCGAACGGGUGAGUAACGCGUAGGUAACCUGCCUGGUAGCGGGGGAUAACUAUUGGAAUCGAUAGCUAAUACCGCAUAAGAGUAGAUGUUGCAUGACAUUUACUUAAAAGGUGCAAUUGCACCACUACCAGAUGGACCUGCGUUGUAUUAGCUAGUUGGUGGGGUAACGGCUUACCAAGGCGACGAUACAUAGCCGACCUGAGCGGGGGAUCGGCCACACUGGGACUGGGACACGGCCCAGACUCCUACGGGAGGCAGCAGUAGGGAAUCGUCGGCAAUGGGCGGAAGUCGGACCGAGCAACGCCGCGUGAGUGAAGAAGGUCUUCGGAUCGUAAAGCUCUGUUGUAAGAGAAGAACGAGUGUGAGAGUGGAAAGUUCACACUGUGACGGUAUCUUACCAGAAAGGGACGGCUAACUACGUGCCAGCCGCCGCCGUAA
rnacentral:rRNA from 1 species